GGGAAGGUGGCUCAGUGGUAGAGCACUUGCCUUGCAUGCAUGAGGCCCUGGGUUUG
rnacentral:tRNA from 1 species